rnacentral:lncRNA from 1 species
AUAUCAUUAUAGAUUUCCAUCCCAUGUAUAUAGACUAUAUCUCCCAUAUACAUUCUAUCUUCAUAUAACGUUUUAAAGUCAUAACUUUAACGAAGAAGAAUUCUUUUCAUUUCCAAAAUUAAUAUAUCAAAUAUAUAUUUAAAUUUUAGGAACAUGAUUAAUUCCCACUAAUCUUUUGUAAACCUAGUAAACAAAAGAUUCAUUUACAUCUUUAUGAGAAAUCAAACGAUUUGAUCCUUUUCUCAUAAGAUGCUCAUAGCUCCCACUAGCUUGCUUACAUUCAUGAUGGAUGGAUCUCUACAACUUACAUGUCUUGUGAUUCAUAGUUUUAGACAUAUAUUAUUAAGACUAUCUUAAUAAUGGUUUCGGAAACCUAUAUUAUGUCCAAACAUUGAAUCACCAUUUAGUUGUAGCUAGCUAUCCUCGAAUUAAUUGAAACCAAGACUACGUCAAAGAUGGUUUCUUCAAAGUCAACCAUUCCUUUUAUUGUAGUUACCUUAAGCUACCAAUUAGCUUAU